rnacentral:tRNA from 1 species
CCUAGGAAGUAAUCAAAUUAGAACUUGAUAGAAAGUAUUUCAUUUACACUGAAAAGUUAACUGUGCAAUUCAGUUUA